rnacentral:sRNA from 1 species
UUUUAGCCGUGGGUGUAGCGGCAUCCUUUUUGUUUUGUUAUUUUUUAAUUAAAUAACAAAACAAAAAGAUAUAGUGGAACACGCGACUAUAA